CCUACGGGAGGCAGCAGUGAGGAAUAUUGGUCAAUGGGAGCAAUUCUGAACCAGCCAUGCCGCGUGCAGGACGACGGCUCUACGAGUUGUAAACUGCUUUUGUACCGGGGUAAACUGUCUUACGUGUAGGGUUUUGUAAGUACCGUACGAAUAAGGAUCGGCUAACUCCGUGCCAGCAGCCGCGGUAAUACGGAGGAUCCGAGCGUUAUCCGGAUUUAUUGGGUUUAAAGGGUGCGUAGGUGGUGUGUUAAGUUAGCGGUGAAAUACCGAGGCUCAACAUCGGAGCUGCGGGUAAUACUGGAGGGCGAGAGAGAGGAUGCGGCAGGCGGAAUGUGUAGUGUAGCGGUGAAAUGCUUAGAGAUCAUACAGAACACCGAUUGCGAAGGCAGCUUGCUAGGCUGGAUCUGACACUGAGGCACGAAAGCGUGGGGAUCAAACAGGAUUAGAUACCCCUGUAGUC
rnacentral:rRNA from 1 species